rnacentral:rRNA from 1 species
GCACAAUGGAGGAAACUCUGAUGCAGCCAUGCCGCGUGUGUGAAGAAGGCCCGAGGGUUGUAAAGCACUUUUAGUGAGGAGGAAAGGUUAGUAGUUAAUACCUGCUAGCUGUGACGUUACUCACAGAAAAAGCACCGGCUAACUCUGUGCCAGCAGCCGCGGUAAU